GAGGAAAGUCGAAGCGCUGUCGCUGCGCCGAGAUUCCAUUGGGCUCGUGCCGAGCUUCGACCUUCGCCGUGGAUUCUAAUUUUACUUUUCUGAGAUUAAGGGCUAAAACUAGACUUAAUCUCAAUUCUCCUUCGAACAGCGCUGAGUUCAUUCCUUAAUAUUAAUUAGAAAAGGGGAGGCAAUUUCUUAAUGAACAGGCGAAUUUUCCAACAGCUCACCCAACCGCCAGAAUCAACGGUGGCGCAUCCCACCGCUGGGGUCUUCACUAGAUCUGAGUGUCUGAGCCAGAUCUGACCCUCGACUUUAGUCACUUCUCUUGUGAGCUGCCUGUAUGCCACAUAACCUACAAUUCCUAUGAGAAAAAUAAAUAUAAAUAACCUAAACGGUCAGGACAUCAAGUUGGAGGUAUGAAAAUUCGUAAAAUCCAACUCACAAAGACCAACAUAUUUUUUGUAACAAUAUUCGGUGCUUUGAGCGGGUAUUAUAUUUGGAGCCCAUUAAUUCAAGAAUCUAUUAUCAAACAAAGGGCAACGUUGCAGAUGAAAGAAGAUGAGCAGCGACAAGAAAAUUGAACCGCAGUGGAAAAUACCACAGCUAAAACUACCAAAAUUACCAUUCGGAUUGUCGAAAGUAUCAAAAAGGACCUGGAUUAUCCUGGGACUUAUAGAAGUUGGGUGUAUUUACGCUUUUGUUUACCGUCCAAGGCGGCGUCGCUACAAGAUGGGGAUUAUGGAACGUGAGGUGAAUGAUCUUUACGAUCAGAUAUUGCAACAAAAGGAAGAGACACUGGAAACAUGUGAAUAGCUAUUGGAAUCUGUUCAACAAUGACUCUCCAGUCGGUGAAGUAUAGGAGGCUGAGGCCGCCGACUCCUCCAUAGAGAGUAGCUGAUGGUAUCCUAAAACAAUUUAUUUAAAAAUAAUGAGGACUAAAAU